rnacentral:precursor_RNA from 1 species
CUACACCUUUUCUCUCUCUUAGCUUAGCCUUCUCCUAUUCUGGACCUCUGUCCCUUCCUCUUGAUUAGGGUUCUAAUUAUGUUAUGAACCUUCCAUGCUUUUAUUUUUCUUUUAAAAAAAGAAUAAAGAAAACCCUACAUAUGGGUUUGUGGGGUAUAUUCAGUCUUCAAUAUCAUGGCUCUCUUUGUAUUCUUCCACAGCUUUCUUGAACUGCAUCCAAAGAGUUCCUUUGCAUGCAUGCCAUGGCACUCUUACUCCCAAAUCUUGUU